rnacentral:rRNA from 1 species
GGCCCAGACUCCUACGGGAGGCAGCAGUGGGGAUUUUGGACAAUGGGGGCAACCCUGAUCCAGCCAUUCCGCGUGAGUGAAGAAGGCCUUCGGGUUGUAAAGCUCUUUCAGCAGGAACGAAACGGUACGCACUAACAUUGUGUGCUAAUGACGGUACCUGCAGAAGAAGCACCGGCUAACUACGUGCCAGCAGCCGCGGUAAUACGUAGGGUGCGAGCGUUAAUCGGAAUUACUGGGCGUAAAGCGUGCGCAGGCGGAUUGUUAAGCAAGACGUGAAAUCCCCGGGCUUAACCUGGGAAUGGCGUUUUGAACUGGCAGUCUAGAGUGUGUCAGAGGGGGGUGGAAUUCCACGUGUAGCAGUGAAAUGCGUAGAGAUGUGGAGGAACACCGAUGGCGAAGGCAGCCCCCUGGGAUAACACUGACGCUCAUGUACGAAAGCGUGGGUAGCAAACAGGAUUAGAUACCCUGGUAGUCCACGCCCUAAACGAUGUCAACUGGUUGUUGGGGGAGUGAAAUCCCUUAGUAACGAAGCUAACGCGUGAAGUUGACCGCCUGGGGA